ACGCCCUACGGGGGAAAGCAGGGGAUCUUCGGACCUUGCGCUGAUAGAUGAGCCUAAGUCGGAUUAGCUAGUUGGUGGGGUAAAGGCCUACCAAGGUNACGAUCUGUAGCGGGUCUGAGAGGAUGAUCCGCCACACUGGGACUGAGACACGGCCCAGACUCCUACGGGAGGCAGCAGUGGGGAAUAUUGGACAAUGGGCGCAAGCCUGAUCCAGCCAUGCCGCGUGUGUGAAGAAGGCCUUUUGGUUGUAAAGCACUUUAAGCGAGGAGGAGGCUCCUUUAGUUAAUACCUAAAGAGAGUGGACGUUACUCGCAGAAUAAGCACCGGCUAACUCUGUGCCAGCAGCCGCGGUAAUACAGAGGGUGCGAGCGUUAAUCGGAUUUACUGGGCGUAAAGCGUGCGUAGGCGGCUUUUUAAGUCGGAUGUGAAAUCCCUGAGCUUAACUUAGGAAUUGCAUUCGAUACUGGAAAGCUAGAGUAUGGGAGAGGAUGGUAGAAUUCCAGGUGUAGCGGUGAAAUGCGUAGAGAUCUGGAGGAAUACCGAUGGCGAAGGCAGCCAUCUGGCCUAAUACUGACGCUGAGGUACGAAAGCAUGGGGAGCAAACAGGAUUAGAUACCCUGGUAGUCCAUGCCGUAAACGAUGUCUACUAGCCGUUGGGGCCUUUGAGGCUUUAGUGGCGCAGCUAACGCGAUAAGUAGACCGCCUGGGGAGUACGGUCGCAAGACUAAAACUCAAAUGAAUUGACGGGGGCCCGCACAAGCGGUGGAGCAUGUGGUUUAAUUCGAUGCAACGCGAAGAACCUUACCUGGCCUUGACAUACUAAGAACUUUCCAGAGAUGGAUUGGUGCCUUCGGGAACUUAAAUACAGGUGCUGCAUGGCUGUCGUCAGCUCGUGUCGUGAAAUGUUGGGUUAAGUCCCGCAACGAGCGCAACCCUUUUCCUUAUUUGCCACCGGGUAAUGCCGGGAACUUUAAGGAUACUGCC
rnacentral:rRNA from 1 species